rnacentral:rRNA from 1 species
UCCAGACUCCUACGGGAGGCAGCAGUGAGGAAUAUUGGUCAAUGGACGAGAGUCUGAACCAGCCAAGUAGCGUGCAGGAUGACGGCCCUAUGGGUUGUAAACUGCUUUUAUAAGGGAAUAAAGUGAGCCUCGUGAGGCUUUUGCAUGUACCUUAUGAAUAAGGACCGGCUAAUUCCGUGC